UACGGGGGAGGGACAGCUGUUCGGUCGAAUCACUGGGCGUAAAGGGCGCGUAGGCGGCGUUUUAAGUCGGGGGUGAAAGCCUGUGGCUCAACCACAGAAUGGCCUUCGAUACUGCGUGGCUAGAGUACUGGAGAGGAGACUGGAAUUUACGGUGUAGCAGUGAAAUGCGUAGAUAUCGUAAGGAAGACCAGUGGCGAAGGCGAGUCUCUGGACAGUAACUGACGCUGAGGCACGAAGGCCAGGGGAGCAAACGGG
rnacentral:rRNA from 1 species